UACGUAGGCAGCAAGCGUUGUUCGGAAUUAUUGGGCGUAAAGAGCUCGUAGGCGGUGUGUCACGUCGGCCGUGAAAACCUGCAGCUUAACUGUGGGCGUGCGGUCGAUACGGGCAUCACUGGAGUUCGGCAGGGGAGACUGGAAUUCCUGGUGUAGCGGUGAAAUGCGCAGAUAUCAGGAGGAACACCGGUGGCGAAGGCGGGGUCUCUGGGCCGAUACUGACGCUGAGGAGCGAAAGCG
rnacentral:rRNA from 1 species